rnacentral:tRNA from 1 species
GCCGAAGUGGCGGAACUGGCAGACGCGCUGCGUUCAGGGCGCAGUAGGAGCAAUCCUGUGGGGGUUCAAGUCCCCCCUUCGGCA